CAUAGGCUCCAAGCGUUGUCCGGAUUUAUUGGGCGUAAAGAGCUCGUAGGCGGUUGAGUAAGUCGGGUGUGAAAACUUUGGGCUUAACCCAAAGAUGCCACUCGAUACUGUUUAACUAGAGUUCGGUAGGGGAGCGGGGAAUUCCUUGUGUAGCGGUGAAAUGCGCAGAUAUAAGGAGGAACACCGGUGGCGAAGGCGCCGCUCUGGGCCGAUACUGACGCUGAGGAGCGAAAGCGUGGGGAGCAAACAGGAUUAGAUACCCUGGUAGUCCACGCGGUAAACGGUGGUCACUAGGUGUGGGUCUCUAACCAAUGAGAUCCGCGCCGUCGCUAACGCAUUAAGUGACCCGCCUGGGGAGUACGGUCGCAAGACUA
rnacentral:rRNA from 1 species